GGGGCCAGUCUCUGAGCCUCGGUGGGCGGGGACCUUUCCUGGAGAGGCGUGGGUGUCCCGAGGCAGCGGAUUCCCUCAUUCUGACUAAGCGCCCUAUCUGUCCUCAUCUGGCUAGACACCUCAAACAGGACAAGCGGCUGAGUCAGACCAUGAACAGGUGGGACCCCAGAGAGGCCUGCCUGUCUCUGGUCAGUUUCCAGGGAAAAGAGAAGCAGCACAAAGUCCAGAACCCACACUGCCAGGUCCAGGGAGCAUGAACCACCCCCAUAAGCAGUGGCUCCGGGUUCAGUUCCCCGAUAGGGGGCAUCUUCCAAAUGAGCUUGGCCUGGGGGCUGGAGCCAUAGCACAGCAGGUAGGGAGUUUGCCUUGCAUGCAACCAACCCAGAUUCGAUUCCCAGCAUCUCAUAUGGUCCCCUGAGCAC